rnacentral:rRNA from 1 species
GGGCGCGAGCCUGAACCAGCCAAGUAGCGUGAAGGAUGACUGCCCUAUGGGUUGUAAACUUCUUUUAUAAGGGAAUAAAGUGAGGCACGUGUGCCUUAUUGUAUGUACCUUAGGAAUAAGCAUCGGCUAACUCCGUGCCAGCAGCCGCGGUAAUACGGAGGAUGCAAGCGUUAUCCGGAUUUACUGGGUGUAAAGGGUGCGUAGGCGGCCCUGCAAGUCAGGCGUGAAAGGCGGAGGCUUAACCUCCGAGCUGCGUUUGAAACUGUGGGGCUUGAGUGGAGCAGAGGCAGGCGGAAUUCCCGGUGUAGCGGUGAAAUGCGUAGAGAUCGGGAGGAACACCAGUGGCGAAGGCGGCCUGCUGGGCUUUAACUGACGCUGAAGCACGAAAGCAUGGGUAGCAAACA